rnacentral:rRNA from 1 species
CCCUUAGAUGUUCUGGGCUACACGCGCGCUACACUGAUGCGAUCAACAAGUUUUUCCUAUGUCGAUAGACACGGGUAAUCUUUUGAACUCGCAUCGUGAUGGGGAUAGAUUAUUGUAAUUAUUAAUCUUCAACGAGGAAUUCCUAGUAGGUGCAAAUCAUCAGUUUGCAUCGAUUACGUCCCUGCCCUUUGUACACACCGCCCGUCGCUGCUACCGAUUGGUUGAUCUGGUGAAUUAUUCGGACUGCCGGCUGAAGGGGUUUCCUCAUCUGCCAGCGGAAAGUCUUGUUAACCCUAUCAACUAGAGGAAGCAGAAGUCGUAACA